rnacentral:misc_RNA from 1 species
GCUUUUCUUGUGGCUGAGAAGGUUGUUGUGUCUACUAAGAGCCCAAGGUCAGGUAAGCAAUAUGUCUGGGAAGCAGUAGCUGACAGUAGCUCGUAUGUGAUUAAGGAAGAAAGUGAUCCUGAAAAGCUUCUGCAUCGAGGAACACAAAUUACACUUUAUCUAAGGGAGGAUGAUAAAUAUGAAUUCUCGGAUCCAGUCAGAAUUCAGGCUUUGGUGAAGAACUACUCACAAUUCGUUUCUUUCCCCAUCUAUACAUGGCAAGAAAAAUCAAGGACUGUUGAGGUGGAAGAGGANNNNNNNNNNAAGAAGGAGAAGAGGCAAAGCCAGAGGAUGAGAAGAAAAAGAAAACUAAAACU